UACGAAGGAGGCUAGCGUUGCUCGGAAUUACUGGGCGUAAAGGGCGCGUAGGCGGAUAUCUAAGUUGGGGGUGAAAUCCCGGGGCUCAACCUCGGAAUUGCCUUCAAAACUGGGUAUCUUGAGUUCGGGAGAGGUGAGUGGAACUCCGAGUGUAGAGGUGAAAUUCGUAGAUAUUCGGAAGAACACCAGUGGCGAAGGCGACUCACUGGCCCGAUACUGACGCUGAGGCGCGAAAGCGUGGGGAGCAAACAGG
rnacentral:rRNA from 1 species